rnacentral:rRNA from 1 species
UGCAGUCGNNCGGUAACAUGGAUUGCUUGCAAUCUGAUGACGAGUGGCGCACGGGUGCGUAACGCGUAUGCAACCUACCUUAAACUGGAGGAUAGCCUUUAGAAAUGAAGAUUAAUACCCCAUAAUAUAUGUCUUUCGCAUGUUAGACAUAUUAAAGCUUCGGCGGUUUAAGAUGGGCAUGCGUGACAUUAGAUAGUUGGUGAGGUAACGGCUCACCAAGUCAACGAUGUCUAGGGGGUCUGAGAGGAUUAUCCCCCACACUGGUACUGAGACACGGACCAGACUCCUACGGGAGGCAGCAGUGAGGAAUAUUGGUCAAUGGACGAAAGUCUGAACCAGCCAUGCCGCGUGCAGGAAGAAUGCCCUACGGGUUGUAAACUGCUUUUAUAUAGGAAUAAACCCCCCUACGUGUAGGGGGCUGAAGGUACUAUAUGAAUAAGGACCGGCUAACUCCGUGCCAGCAGCCGCGGUAAUACGGAGGGUCCAAGCGUUAUCCGGAUUCAUUGGGUUUAAAGGGUGCGUAGGCGGGACAUUAAGUCAGUGGUGAAAUCUUCCAGCUCAACUGGGAAACUGUCAUUGAUACUGAUGUUCUUGAGUUUGGUUGGAGUAAGCGGAAUGAGGCAUGUAGCGGUGAAAUGCAUAGAUAUGCCUCAGAACGCCGAUCGCGAAGGCAGCUUACUAAGUCAAUACUGACGCUGANGCACGAAAGCGUGGGGAGCAAACAGGAUUAGAUACCCUGGUAGUCCACGCCGUAAACGAUGAUUACUCGCUGUUGGCGAUACACUGUCAGCGGCUAAGCGAAAGUGAUAAGUAAUCCACCUGGGGAGUACGUUCGCANG